GGCACCCUGGAGUGUGGAGUGAGGCAGAAGGUAGAAAACAAGAAGCUGAAGCCCAAGUCCACCUACUGAAGCCUCUUUUUCCUGUUAAUGGACCUGAUUUGGAAUGAUCCUUCCCAGCUCUUGAUGAAUCUCUGCCAGAAGGAUUAUAGAAAUUGGUAUGACUCUUGGAGAAGGAGAUGUAGAAAAUCUGACUCUCCAGUCCAGUGGCCUGUGAAAAGCUCACUCAAUUAAAGUGGAAAGAUAAGAGGCUCCUGUCACCUACAAGAGCACAGGAACAGACUUGACUAUUGCUGACAGUGACUCAUUUUGGGAUACAGAACAUAGUGGAGUAAAUAAGCUUACUGGAGUGAGACUACUGCAGGGAGGGUUGAGCUGUGACACUAUCGUCUUGUCUGCUUCUUAGGUGAGGAUAUGAGACCUAGGAAUUGCUGGAGCUUGUGUAUGAAGCAACCCUGUGGAAAGCAGAAGAAAAAAGAAAUGGAAUUCUUAGCUGCUGGAUCAGGCUUCAUCUAAAGUUGUGGAUCCCUCAGCUGCAGAGAGGAAGGAGAGGCCAGGAGUCCAGCAUCACACAAAGCUUGGCAUUUGUGGGCCAGCCAGUAUCUAGCAAGAGUGUGUCAUAAAUGUAUAUUGAAGAAUUAAAUGACUUUCAGGGGGACAUUUCCUGUUUUCAACGUUUAACCUUUUGCAGAAGAGAUGCCGAGUAGAUCAACUGAGCACACAGAAGGUAUUUACAAGGCUUCCCACAUGUAACACAUCUUCAAUGAAUGGGAAGAGGGAAGAUGGUAGAAAUAUCUAAUCAUUUAAGAUGCUUUCUAGCCUUAUAAAAUAACAUGAGCAAAUUUGUCAUUUUGAUAACAUUUGGAUUCUGCCAAAUGAGGAACAAUUUCUCUGGAUUUGUGGGUUUUAAAAUGUGAGGCAAAGGAAGCAUGCUGUGGUCUACACAGUCUCCAGUAGGUGAUUGGAUCCAGGACCCCCACAAAUGCCCAAAUCCUCAGAUGCUUGAGGUCCUUAGAUAGAAAUGACAUAAUGUUUGUGUGUAACGUACACAUAUCCUCCCAUAUACUUUAGGUCAUCUCUAGAUUAUUUAUAAUACCUAAUAUAGUGCGAAAGCUAUGUAAAUAGUUGCUAUACUAUAUUAUUUAAGGAAUCAUGACAAGGGAAAGAGUCUGUAUAUGUUCAGUACUGAUGAUGAUUUUUGUUUCUAAAUAUUUUUCAGUCAGUGAUUGGUUGAAUAUGUGGAUUUGGAUACAGAGGGUCAACUGUACUCUUGUCACUGAGAGGGGAAUUUAUCAGACAAUAUGGUUGCAAUGGUCUGGUCCCAGUGUAAUGAUUAUACUUCUGAUCCUAAUUUCAAUUCCACAGGGCAUAAAAUCACCAAUAGUAAAGUAUACUGCUUCCCAUCAGGGAUGUGGUAACAAUGUAGGUUCCUGUAUGCACAGUUAGUGUCACAUAGCUCUCACACUGGUGGAAAGGGCUUUUACCAUUGGAAGAGGAAAAUCCAAACAAGAUGGAAUAACCCUUUGAAGUUCACUUUAAUCGAAGGAUAUUUACAUAAUUCACUUUGGAUUGUACCUCUUUAAAUGGUUGUACUUCCUGUCUAUAUCCACACCUAAAAAGUGUCAGUCAUUUAUAGUCCUUUCUCAUGUUUUUAUUGGCAUUUUUAUUAUAAAACCAAAUAUAGUAAAAAUUUCUAAUCAAAAAAGAAAUGAAAAGUUACUGCAUCACUUUGGAUUUUAUCAGUACUGUCCACUACAGAGGAGUAGAUAAAUAGAUGGUAAACUUUUGAGGCUCUCAUUGAAUAUGUAAAUAUGAGAAUCUGCCACAGAAAAAAGUUCAAGUAUUACAGGGAAAGAAUGUCUAACUUAUAACGUUUAAUUUAUUAUAGCCAAAGUUUGUCCUGUUUUUUGUUUUGUUGUUGUCCACAUUAAAACUAUCAUAUUUAUAAACAUUUUAUUUCUUACACAGCAAAUCUUUCAAGAGAUAUGAAUAUAGUACUGCCACCUCCUGGAAAUAUAAAUAUUCAAUGAUAUAAUUUGCAAAAUUAUAUGAACAUAAUACAUGCAUGUUUGGCCAGUAUUUUUUUUCAGUACCUGGAAUCAAACUCAGGGCCUUGCACUUGCCAGGCAGGUGCAGCACCACUGAGCUACAUCCUCAGCCCCCCUGGCCAGUAUUUUUUAAUGAAAGAGCUUAAAGCUUUAAUUUUUGGGCUGGAUAAAGAUAAAAAGGUAUGAUGAUGAAAUCUUACUGUUUUCCAAAACUCAGGAGGCUAAAUGAUGUUUUAAAGACAUAGUCAAAGCUAAAAAACUAUUAAAAUCUUUAUAGCUAAGUGGUUAAAACCAUACAUUACAUUUCCCCUAAAAGCAUAUACAUUUAUCCAAGUGUUAACAAUAUUUUCAUAAAGAUCAAGAAUAUUAAAAAAAAAUUAACUAUUUAGUCAGAUCUCCAGUGUGUGGCUUCUGUCGCCAGUGACUCUGGCAUGUGCUGUGCCAUCUCAUCAGUAGGCCACUGGGAGAAAAGUGUUCUCGCCAACACUUCAGGAUACCUGUGUUAGUUUACCUCUCAGUUGAUGAAAGAAGAGAUUAAUUCUGAACGUGAUUACUUUAGUGCAGCCUGGCUUUCCCUGAAGCAUUAACAGGUCAUGGUGACAUGUCCUUUCAAUGUCACAUGGGACAAAACCCCCAGAGGAUUAGCUGGAGAAAUGAAAUUUGAUUCAGUAUUUAUUAAAGGUCCCAGACUUAGUGAAGUUACAUGUUAGUUUGGAGAUUUUGCCUGAUAAAGGAACAAUUUCUCUUCUGUGGAAAUGAUCCACAGAAGGUUUAUGUCCCCUUGGACAUUAGCCAGGUUUGUGUAUGACCUGGCAAUUGUGUCUUCACAUUGUCAAAAAUUCCCCAACUUUCCAGAUGUUCUUGGAGCCAGUUUUCAUCUCUUACUGUUAUUCUCAUUAAUGAACAUACUGAGUAAAAUCUUAUCAUGUAUUUAUUUGUACAAGAAUGCCAUGUCUUGUAACCUUUUGAAAAUUAAAUUGAUCAGUUCCAAAGGUCAUGCAUUGAAAUGUUUGAGGGGAUAACCCCCAUUUGCCUGCAAAUCUUUCCUUGACCUCUAGUUUGCACACGUUGAAUAAAUUAUUCUCUAUUAGUGGCAGCAGUGUCUGGGGAUUUGCUUUUAUGAUCUGACUAUUCAGUGAUCUCUAUUGGAUGAAUAGUGGGAGACUUGUUCUCUGUUGAGUGAGAAAUGACAGAGAAUCCUGUGUGGUUUUUAAUAGAGUUUGCUUUGUUUGGCUCAUUUGUUUAUACACAAUCUCAAAUCAAUUAAGAACUUAUAUAUUCAGUGGACAGGAACAUAACUCUGAAUUUUUUGACCUGCGGCUAAAUUUGUAGAUCUGAAGCUACAAGCUCACUAGGUGUCUUAUAUCUGUAAUUAAGAAAGGUCUUUAGCCCUCUGUAUAAGUAUGAAAUAUUUCCUAUCUCUAGAAGGUAUUAAUGAAUUAGAUUAUAAUAUUGUUUACGUUGAAAGAGCAUUGGUAUGGUUAGCUUAUAGAGAUGAUCAUUCAAAUGAUUAAUAAAUAAAUGUUUUCCAAAUUUAAACCAUACAGAAUGAACCUCUUGUAAUUCAAAUUGUGCUAGUCUUUUAAGAAAGAUGGUUGUUUUUC
rnacentral:lncRNA from 1 species